rnacentral:tRNA from 1 species
GCUGAGAUGGCUGAGCAUGGUUAAAAGCGCAGGGCUUAAACUCCUGUCCACAUUUGGUUCGCAGGUUCAAAUCCUGCUCUCAGCA